rnacentral:misc_RNA from 1 species
GUGAGACGUUAUCUCUGUGCGAGCUACAGUGCGAUCUUCGCCCUCACAAUUUCUACUUUUGUAAGUUACUUUCUUUUAAUACAGUGAAAAUUUUACUUUUUGUAGAUUUGAUAUUUUACUAAUAUAUGGUUCUCUUUCAGGUGUGACGUUAGCUCUGCGCGGGCUACAUUGUGAUCUACACAAAUUCUACUUUGUGAGCUCUGGGCGAGCUACAAUGCGAUCUACGCCCUCACAAAUUCUACUUUGUAAGUUACUUUCUUUAAUACACUGAAAAUUUUACUUUUUGUAGAUUUGAUAUUUUACUAAUUGAUGGUUCUCUUCCAGGUGAGACGUUAGCUCUGUGCGAGCUAUAUUGUUAUCUACGCCCUCACAAAUUCUACUUUGUAAGUUACUUUCUUUUAAUAGAGUGAAAAUUUUAGUUUUUGU